ACCUUGCUGCCAGAAUCGUGCCAAGGCAGUGGAGGGACACUGGCAAGGGGACGGGCUGCGUUGUGGCAGAGUGGACUGUGAAAGCUGUGUGCCCCUCCAUGUGGCUCUCUGCCCACGGAGCUCUCGCGGUUCGGCGGAUGGGGAGGGACACACUGUGCUCCAGUUACCCUCGGGAGCAAGCUGGGCCUCCAGCCGAGCCUUCCCAGCCCGCAGACUAAGUGAGGAAAUGAGAGCCAGGAUGUUCAACGUGCCUCUAAGACUCAUCGGAGCAAUUAGAAGUUUCCAGAAUUGCCUGGAGAAGAGAAGGCCAGCAGGUGAAGUCAAGGCUGCAGCUGGGUCGAGGAGGGAGCGCUGCUGGUGAAAGAGAAAAAUCUAGGUAGUCCUGCAAUGCUGUCCAUCCUCCUGCAUGCCCAGAAGUGGAGUGGACUGGCAGACAUCCAUUAGCUUUAGGCUGCCUUCAGCGGAAGACGUGGGGAUCGAGCA